GGCUCCUCCAUACCAAAAUAUCCAUGGCUGAGUGGUGUAUAGGGCCAGCCCAUGCGUACAAUGCAAAGCCCAACACAAGCUUCUUUCUUCUUCCCCACUCCCGUCUUCUCCUCUUCCAGUCCAGCGAACGCGCUCUCCGCCGACGGCCGGCCGCCGCUGCAUCAAUGGAGCCAAAAAUUUCCUCAUCUUCCGCUAGUUCUUAGUCGUCCCCCCUCGAACCUCUUCAGUCCGUCUCUGAGUCUGAGAGAUGACCAUGAAGGGAAAAAAUAGAAGAAGAUCCAUUCCAGGGUUCGAGAUCGGCCAUCAUCUCCAUUUUAUGUUUGGACGAGUAUCAAAUUGCGUGUUACUUUAUGGUUUCACACGUGAAUCUCAAGGUGCUGAUACUGACGAAUUCUCCUAAAGCAGCGUUGGUUCUUGCACAUGGUUUCAUCGUAGAAGAGCCAACACUCCAACAGCAUCAUAUGGGGAUUUUUUUUAUUGUCGACUCUGUAGACUGUGCUAUCUAGUCUGCAUAUUUUUGCAGCCAAGUGAAAGCCUUGAGCUUGUUAUGAACUGACAGAUAUUUUUUGAUGACCUGACAGCUCAUGUAUAGGCUGACCGACUGACCUGCUCGCGAGCUGAACCUUAUUUCCAAGUAUUGACAUAAUGUCAUGUACAGACGACCUGUCCGACUUGAUUAUGAACCAUCACCAAACUUGUUUUUCGUUUAACCUGGUUUUCUUGCAAA